rnacentral:rRNA from 1 species
CCUACGGGAGGCAGCAGUGAGGAAUAUUGGUCAAUGGGCGAGAGCCUGAACCAGCCAAGUCGCGUGAAGGAUGACGGCCCUACGGGUUGUAAACUUCUUUUGUCAGGGAGCAAUUGGGUCCACGCGUGGGCUUAGCGAGAGUACCUGAAGAAAAAGCAUCGGCUAACUCCGUGCCAGCAGCCGCGGUAAUACGGAGGAUGCGAGCGUUAUCCGGAUUUAUUUGGUGUAAAGGGAGCGUAGACGGGUAUGCAAGUCUGAAGUGAAAGCCCAAGGCUCAACCAAGGGAUUGCUUUGGAAACUGUAAGACUGGAGUGCAGUAGAGGUAAGCGGAAUGCCUAGUGUAGCGGUGAAAUGCGUAGAUAUUAGGAGGAACACCAGUGGCGAAGGCGGCUUACUGGACUGUAACUGACGUUGAGGCUCGAAGGCGUGGGGAGCAAACAGGAUUAGAUACCCCAGUAGUC